GAUGAAUGCUGGCGGCGUGCCUAAUACAUGCAAGUCGAGCGGCAAGGCCCUUCGGGGUACUCGAGCGGCGGACGGCUGAGUAACGCGUGGGAACAUACCCCAAAGUGAGGGGUAACCGCCCGAAAGGGUGGCUAAUACCGCAUCUGGUCCUCGGUAUCAAGGAUUUAUCCGCUUUGGGGAUGGCCUGCGUAUGAUUAGAUAGUUGGUGAGGUAAUGGCUCACCAAGUCUACGAUCAUUAACUGGUCUGAGAGGAUGAUCAGUCAGACUGGAACUGAGACACGGUCCAGACCCCUACGGGAGGCAGCAGUAAGGAAUCUUCCACAAUGGGCGAAAGCCUGAUGGAGCAACGCCGCGUGCAGGAUGAAGGCCUUCGGGUUGUAAACUGCUUUUAUAAGUGAAGAAUAUGACGGUAACUUAUGAAUAAGCACCGGCUAACUACGUGCCAGCAGCCGCCGCU
rnacentral:rRNA from 1 species